rnacentral:lncRNA from 1 species
AUUGAUGACUUGUGUGGCUUUUAACCAUAUCUGGGAAACUCUCAUACCCUCAUUGCCUUUGCUUGGAGGAUGUCCCUGCUGGUCCUGGCAGCCCUCACACUGCGCAGUCUUUCCACACACUACAGCCCAAGGAGUCAUCUGCUUGUGGUUUGGUAGCUUCAACCUUGUUCUCUACAACCAUCCCCCAUGCCGGUUCUCAGCUCAGAAAACUUCAAUGACUUCCAUUAUCCGCUGAAGUUUUAACUUUUACAUACAAACCUGAAUGGAAACAUUCAGGUUUUCCAGGAUAUGGCCUUUGCUGUCAUUUCCUCCUUGUUAUCCUUUCUCCCUCCCUCCAUAUUUUCCACAAAUGAUUUGGAAAUACUGUAAAAACCUCUAUAUUAAGUGCUGGGGAUAUAUUGAUGAUCAAGCUGCCUUUGUAAAGUGUGCAGAUAAAAGAGAGAUCCACAGAGAAGUAAUUCAAGUCAAGCAGGAUGAGUGAUUUGGUAGGGCAGUGUCGGGGCAACAGGAGGAUGCACAGGGAACUUCAACAAAUUGACCAGGCUGAUUUCUCUGAAGAAGGAACACGUCAGUGGAAAUGUGUGAAAACUGAUCAACAGAAGAAGGGGCUUGAUCUACUUUCCGUCUUAGAAUGUGUGCUCAGGUUGCGGUGUGUACGGUGUGGAUAAAUGAUUUGGGCCAGUGGCUUUCAAACUUGAGUGUGAGUCAGAAUCUUCCAGAGGGCUUUGUAGAACACCACUGCAGGACUCCCUCUCCUAGUAGGUUUGGGGGAGACCCUGAGAAUCUCCAUUUUUUUUUUUGAGACGGGGUUUCACUCUUGUGGCCCAGGCUGGAGUGCAGUGCUGCCGUCUUGGCUCACCGCAAGCUCCGCUUCCCGGGUUCAAGCGAUUCUCCUGCCUCAGCCUCCCACGUAGCUGGGAUUACAGGGGCCCGCCACCAUGCCUGGCUAAUUUUUUGUAUUUUUUAGUAGAGACGGGGUUUGGCCAUGUUGGGCAGGCUGCUCUCCUGACCUCAGGUGAUCCGCCCGCCUCAGCCUCCCAAAGUGCUGGGAUUACAGGCGUGAGCCACCGUGCCCGGCCGAGAAUCUGCAUUUUUAACAAGCUCCCAGGAGAAGCUGAAGCUGCUGAUCCUGGGACUGCACUUAGAGAACCACGGUUCUGAGGCUUUGAAGAACAAGCUGCCAUGAAUCCUGCAGCUACAAGGAAAUGAACUCUAUUAACUUGAGUGAGCUUAAAACUAGAUCCUUCCCCAGUCAAGCCUCCAGGUGAGAAUUCAAUCCUGGCUGGCACCUGGAUUGCAGCUUACAGAAGACCCAGCUAAGGCCAUGUCUGGACUUUAAAUCCACAGGAACUGCAAGAGAACUGUUUGAUACACGCAACCAGGACUGUAUGAGAGGCUGGAAACGUAUCUAUCAGUACUACUUAUCUGUAGUAAAGACUUUUUUAAGCUCAUUUAUGAUUGCACAACCUAAAUAACCAUACAUGGCUGGGCCUGGGAAAGGCAGAAAGGCAGAUGGAUGGUAUCAGAAGUGGGACCUGCAGUGGGGCAUCUAGCAACCCCCAGGAGCAUUGAGUGACCAGGCUUGGGACCCACCGGGCGCAGGGUGUCCAUUGUUCUCUCGAAGCAACUGAGAAUUGUGGAUAUUCUUCAUUAUUCCAUCAUCAUCUCAAACCUCUUGGGUAUAGUGUUUGACUACUACUGUGACCAUAAAUUCCAAUAAAACCUAGGAAAAAUGAAACCACUACAUUAACUGAAAGGUAAGUGGAGAAUUUUCACCUUUUUACUUGAAGGAAGGAUUUGACAGCUUCUUUUGGGCAUAUCAGAAUCGCCAGCAUCACUACUCUUGCACUGUGCGGCCAUUAUUAAGUGAAAUAAGGAUUACUUGAACACAAGCACUGCAAUGCCGCUACAGUCAAUGUGAUAACCCAGCUGGUGACUAAGUGACCAAGGACGGGGAGUAUCUACAGCGGGGAGACUCUGGAAAAAGGGAGGAUUCACAUCCAGUGCCACUGGGGCAGGGCAGAAUGAGAGUUCAUCAUGCUACAAAGAAUGGCACAGAAUAUACGACUUGUGAGUGGAUUAUCUCUGGAAUUUUCUGUUGACUACAUUUGUACUACAGUUGUAUGUGGGUAACAAACUGUGGAAAGUGAAACUUCGGGUAAGGGGGAGGCUACCGUAGAUAGCCCAGUAUUUCUUAUUUUGUGGAUUUGUUUAUCUUUCUGCUCACAUCCUUUUCCUUCUGCAUUACCAUUUUAGUAAAAAUAGAUAGCAUCCAUUUGGUGUUUAGUAUGUUUUUGGCACAGUCGAACAUUUUACAAACAUUAUAUCAUUUAAUCUGCAUAAAACCUAUACAGUAGGUACAACUAUUAUCCAGUUUUUUAGACAAGGCAAACUGGAUCACAGGGAGUUCAAAACGCCUCUUCCCUUGGUCAAGUUGGGUCAUGUAAUUGUCAAAGUUAAAACAUGCCCCUUAGGAGAUGAUUUAAAAUUCCCUAAUUUUUUAGAAGAAUCUUCAGUUUUCCCAGGAUAGAACAUUUAUUGAUAUGGUAAAUAUGUG